rnacentral:rRNA from 1 species
UGGGGAAUAUUGCACAAUGGGCGCAAGCCUGAUGCAGCCAUGCCGCGUGUGUGAAGAAGGCCUUCGGGUUGUAAAGUACUUUCAGCGGGGAGGAAGGGAGUAAAGUUAAUACCUUUGCUCAUUGACGUUACCCGCAGAAGAAGCACCGGCUAACUCCGUGCCAGCAGCCGCGGUAAUACGGAGGGUGCAAGCGUUAAUCGGAAUUACUGGGCGUAAAGCGCACGCAGGCGGUUUGUUAAGUCAGAUGUGAAAUCCCCGGGCUCAACCUGGGAACUGCAUCUGAUAAUGGCAAGCUUGAGUCUCGUAGAGGGGGGUAGAAUUCCAGGUGUAGCGGUGAAAUGCGUAGAGAUCUGGAGGAAUACCGGUGGCGAAGGCGGCCCCCUGGACGAAGACUGACGCUCAGGUGCGAAAGCGUGGGGAGCAAACAGG